rnacentral:misc_RNA from 1 species
GGACCACUAGUGCGUUAAAAACCAACUUUGGAGCUGGUUUUAACGCAAAAUGUUUGAGUUAAAUCGUGUUUUCCACCCAUGAAAGUCAUUUCCACCUUUUAUAAAAGGGCCUUGACCAAGUGACUGACUCGUUGAUGUGAGCGCCAAGAGAUUAAGACCGUUCUUUUCGUCAGCCACCAUCGUCCAAUACUUUAAAAUCGUCAGCUCAUUUAAUCCUUAACCCGACGGUGGAUCUUGCCGCGGAAGGAAGUACUAGCAAAACCAUGAAGCACUGGCUGUAUAACGAUGCUGCCGCGCACUUGUUUAACGUCGCCUUCAUUCCAAGCACGGGACACAUACGCAUUAAACACACCGGUAAAUACUUUUUAUAUACCAGGGCAAGCGUGUUAUUUAAAGCGUCAAAUGAUCCGCCUUUGAUACACUCUGUGCAUAAGAAGUCGGCAAGCUCAGCCCUAAGAGAGCUUUUGAGGGCGGUCCGUAUAAAUAGGUGGUCUUCGGCGCUGCGCUACGACGUACAGACCUCGUUUUUGAGCGGAACUUUUGACCUCAGGGAGAAUGACGAGGUGUAUGUUAGCCUCAAUAACAUAGCGAGGUUAUAUUUUUCUGAGAGGAAUUAUAGAUCAACUAAUUUUGGUUUGUUUAUGAUUUAACGUCGCAGCAGGUUCUGCAGCAUAGAGUAGCUGUCUUGAAGUCGUGGGAUAAUUUGUACAGGCCACCUCCCCUCCUUUUUAUUUUACCCUUUCCUUGGUGGGCAGGUUAUUUUCAAAUUACAAUAUAAAUUCAAAUUAAAAAUUCAUGCAAUCUCAAAACUGAUAGAUCCCUGUGAUAGAUGCCUGUGAUGUUAAUUUUCACAUGUGAAAAAUACCUCAUCCUACAAUGGACAAAAAAGUUCGGAAACACUGUUAUUCUAAUAAACUUUAAAUAAUCAUAAAGUUAAAUUCUUAACCAAGUUUUAAUGGAUAAUGCACCACGGUAACAUUCAUUGCUUUUUUAUAUACACGGAUUAUUUUCCUGCUACAUUAUAUAGUUUUUUUAAAUUAUUUUUGGUCGAGUGUAUAAGAAUCAACAACCUGUACGAAAUAUAUUUUUUCUUUACAUCAUAUGUAAUAAAUCUAUUUAAGCAGAAAAAGAAAAAUCACUACUGAGUCAGUAUAGUAAGGAAAUUUGCCUUUAUCUGUAGAAACAGUAAAACAUACAAAUGGGCAUCUUAAUAAAAGGAUUUGGUAAAUUUGUAAAAAAAAAAAAAAUGUAAGAGUAGAUAUAAUUUUACAGUUAACCUGACAUUCAAAUCACUUAAACUAUUCCUUUGGAAAUUUUUCAGUUUUGAAAAAAAUUAGACAACUGGUGAAAUUUAUAACAGCAACAUAUACUGUUACAUAAGAGCAACUGUACAGAAUACAGUUUAUGUUUAUUUUAUGUAUGUUUAUUUUAUGUAUGUUUUAUUUUUUUAACAUACUGUAACAUACUGCUUUACUAUAAUUAAUAGAUAAUAAAUGUGUCCAAUAUCACAUUAUCAUUAAUGUAUAAAAACUGCUGUCAAAAGUACUAUAAUACUUUAUCUGUGAUAUUUUUGCAAAAUAAAAAAAAAUCAUGAAAU